rnacentral:rRNA from 1 species
GACGGAGGAUGCAAGUGUUAUCCGGAAUCAUUGGGCGUAAAGAGCGUGUAGGCGGCCCGGUAAGUCCGCUGUGAAAGUCCAGGGCUCAACCCUGGGAUGCCGGUGGAUACUGUCGGGCUCGAGUCCGGAAGAGGAGUGUGGAAUUCCUGGUGUAGCGGUGAAAUGCGCAGAUAUCAGGAGGAACACCAAUGGCGAAGGCAGCACUCUGGGACGUGACUGACGCUGAGACGCGAAAGCGUGGGGAGCAAACAGG